GGAAGCGAUCAUACCAGCACUAAAGCACCGGAUCCCAUCAGAACUCCGAAGUUAAGCGUGCUUGGGUGAGAGUAGUACUAGGAUGGGUGACCUCCUGGGAAGUCCUCGUGUUGAAUUCC
rnacentral:rRNA from 3 species